CAGAGUUUCGCUCUUUUUGACCAAGCUGGAGUGCAAUGGCGUGAUCUCGGCUCGCUGCAAUCUCUGCCUUCCAGGUUCAAGUGAUUCUCCUGCCUCAGCCUUCUGAGUAGUUGGGAUUACAGGUGGCUUUUCUACAAUAUAAAGAUGGAAAUGGGAAGAAGAUGUUCAUUGCAAAUUAAGGAAGCUCUUCCACGAGUUCACGAAUGGAAAUAACAUCAAGAGUUUUUCAUCUUCUUAGUGUGCAAGGUA
rnacentral:lncRNA from 1 species